CUUAUUCUACAAGUAAUAAAUGAUUACAAUUAUUUUUAAAAACUCCAUCAUCACAGAAAAACAUAAUAUAAGAAAGGCCCCCCACUCAUUUUCCCUGACCCAGAGAUUAUCACUGUAUAAGGUUGAUAUUUUUCCAGUAUAUACUAACAUAUAUCUUAUUGAUAGUAUGUAUGCAUAUUUUUAAUGACUAAUUCUUUACUUCAAAGAGCUCUUGAAAGGGAUACUAAGUUUGCAACUUCAUGGCGUGUGGCAAAGGGAAGAAUAUUUGGGGAUAAGUCAGUCAUAUUUUGAAUCUCUCUGUAACACAUGACAUUGAAUUUCAGUCCUAUUUAAAGAAGAGCUUCCCUGGUAAAAAAAACGUUUUUGUAUAUGGAUCUCAGGUUGGAGGAGGACAGAAGAAACUACCUAUAAGAUGUGGGCUGGGCAAUAGAUUUUAAUCGUGGUUCCUAUUAAUUACUCAGCAAUUUCAGGCAGUCCUCCACUCUUAACACUGUAGUUUUCCCCUGUGUAAAAUAGGAAAGGGCGGUAGAAAAUCUGAACUUGGGGACUUGGUCCCUAAGCACUGCUACCAACUACUCCUGCCUUUUGGCAAAUACCCAACUCCUCUCAGCUGGGGUCAUGCAUUCUGCCAGCUCACAGGAGCCAGGAGGCUUAAUUACCUGUAUUUUCAAAGACCUCUGAACUCUCUUAGGAAGGGGGCUAUUUAAGUUCAGUGUCAUAUUAUCCAGUUCCUGAAGCAUUCAUUUUAUAGAGACAGGGAGGGAGGGUUCAGAGAUCGGGCUGUGCUCCAAAGAAAGUUUCGAAAAAGCUUUUGUCUGUAGUGUAAGUUGAGGAAAUGCUUCAUGGUUUGAGAAAAGUCACAUUAGACUUCCACACAAAUAAUACGCAUCUCAGAAAGAAAAUACUACAUUAGAUAUUAGUUUCAGGUCAUCCAAAUUCACACUGGUGUGUGUUCACCUUCUCUUUCCUUUACUAGAAGGUUCUCUGUGAUUAUCUCCCACCAACACAAACCUGUAUGAUGUGCACCGUUGCUACUGCCAUUUGGCAGGUACUGCUAUGGUACAACCUGGUCUGGACAGUCUCAAACUCCAGGGCCAGCAUCAAACUUGUGAUGAAGUUUUCACAAAAAAAUGAGGGCAACACAUUGUCAGGCUGCCAACUUUAUUUAAGAAGUAUUGUUUUUUAUUCUAAGAGUGCAUCCUUUCUACUUUGGGGGUAUUGAAAUGUUACUUUCUUUUAUGAAUUAAUGGUAAUUGGAGAUGGUAGCUGUGGAGUUUUUUUUAAACACUCUGAUUUGAUCAAAUUUAAACUUGGCAGCAGUUUAUUGAUCUUCCCACAAUUUCACAAUUUCCUUUCCCUUUCUUUUUACAUUUUACUGGUCUGCAAAAUCCAAUCUCUGGAAAACAUCAGUCUACAGCUAAUUCUGUCUAUAUGGUAUAGGGAGAAUGCAGAUAAUCACCAUUUUUAGCUCAAAGUAUUAAAUUCCUCCCCUACCAAAACUUGUGCCUCAGCUAAUGAUAAGUAGGACACUCAGUGCACUUGAGUUGUAUUUCUCCCUGCACCCUCUAAUAGGAUUCCUAAAAUUAAGCCACUGAAAGAUCAGAAAAGAAGGAAGCAGGGGAAAAAAAUAAUCUGAAUAAUAAAUGAACCAGCUGGUUAAUGGACUCAGUGUCGAUUAACAAUGAAUAAAAGUAUGUCCUAUGAAAUAUUUGGAGUAUAUGUAUGUUAAAAAAUUAUUCAUUGUUUAUUUGAAAUUCAAAUUUACCUGGGAAUUCUAUAUUUUGUCUGACAACCUUACACCCAAGACUGACCCUUUAGAAUAUACAUAGGUAGUAAAAUGUAAAUUCAAGUAGUCCCUACACAUAAAUGGCUAUUAAUAUACUCUUUUGGUUGUCUUUAUGUUGUCUAGUUUUCUUGUCUAAAUGUAAGAUAUAUAGAUUGUUGGGUUCUUAUAAAUGCAUAACCACCUUCAGUUAAAUCAAGAGAAGAGUAAAACAAGGUACCUGGUCCCCAGUGGUCUUACCUGAUAGCCAGUAUUUAUAAGCAGAUCCUGCCGGGUCACCUCUGAGCCGUCUGUUCAGGAUGACUGCAGAGUCAUCCUCUUCAACCCACACUGAAGUUUUAGGAUCUGAGAGUUUGUGGGUAGGAAGUGGGGAAGAAAGCCAAGAUUCCAAGAGGUGCCCUUAGCCAGACUUAGCACUCGGCCAACACACUUGUUCUUUGUUCCUUGUUUACCUCUCUGAUCUUACUACUAAUACAAAGUUAAAAGCUCUGCAUCUGUUCACUAUUCUCCCUGGCAAAUGUAGGGUUCCUCACCUUAGCUUGAAACAAAAGUAAUAAUAAAACUGUCAAGUAGUGCUAAUAACCUCCCCGGUGAUAUUUGCAGGCAAAUGACUUUCCAUCUACACAACUGACACCUGUUUUCUGUUAGGGAAAUGAAUUGAUAUGAGCUGGAGAUUGGCAGGCAAGUAGGAGUCUGGGUCAGGUACCUGGUGUGCAUUUCAUCAAAAUGCGUAGGAAUGUGGGUGGUUGGUUUUGUUUUCGUUUUCCCUGACCACCUCAAGGUUGUUACAGAAGUACUAUGAGGGGCGAAAAUGUGAACGGUGCUGAUAAAUUCAGAUACAUGGGAGUGGAAAUCAAAAUGUGGAAUCAGAGCCAAUUUUGGUGGUCAGUGACUCACAAAUCCCCAAAUGGGCUGCUUAGGAUCGGGAAAAGAAAGCUGGGUUAGCAAAGUCUCAUCCUGGCUCCAACGCCAUCUACCAGGGUGACUUUGUGUUGUCCUUUUCACAUCAGUUUCCCGCCUUCACAGAUGAAAGGGUUGGACAGGCUGCUACCUGGGGUUCCUUUAGCCCUGAAUCUCUAAGUAGGCAUAGCAGAGAGAAAAGGAAUUCCUGAGUUGCAUGCAAGACUUGCUCACCUACCUGCUGGGUGUUCAAAGGCUAUAGAUUUGAGGUAACAGAGACAUACUCCUUGAUCUCUUGUUCUGACCUUCAGAGACAGCAGUCGUUCUUUGUUUUUUUUGUUUUUUGUGUUUUUGGUUUUUUUGGGUUUUUUUUUUUUUUUUUUUUUUUGCCUUCUUCCACCUGCUUCCUGCCAUGCCAGAAGAAGGUUGGUUGGACCAUGUUCCUGGGCCUCCCAGGAGCCUGGUGACUCCUAUGCCUCACGGUCUCUCGGGACUCCUACACACACAGGUCAUUGUUAUCUUUCCUUUGCAAAGCUGUUCCUUAGGUUAGAUGAAAAAUAAGGGGAGUCCAACCAUUGUAAUUAUUUAUAUGGGCAUACAAAGAUGAGACGUGCCGCUUUUCCUUGGUUACUAAAUCACCCUCUGGAUUCUCAGACUUUCUUUGCCACGUGCUUUCCAAGCCUUUUCCCACUGGGUGGUUCUAGUCGGAAUCUGUAUAAAAUACUCCCUUUGGGUCAGCAGUUUAAAAUUGAACUUGGAUGGCAAAAUAUUAAAUAUACACUUCCUAUAGUAGGCAAUGUGUACCCCGAUUCUGUCCUUCGUAACUGUGUAGAACGCACAGUGGUGGGAAAGAUCAAAGAUUUCUGCAGGGGUUCUUUCCAUUGUGAGCCCUGGAGCUCAAUGAGUUCCUUCUUCUAGGCUUCCUCAUGUGAUGACUAUUCUUUUCUAGAACUAAAUCCUAUAGCAAAUUACAGGCCUUGCAUUUUAUCUUUCUUAUUCAGAAGUAUUCACUGACGUGCCCCUUUUCUUGUCGGGGUUGUGGCAAUACCAUGGAAGUUAAACUGGGUACCCGCCUUGCCUUCCAGGGGCUUUUGUGUUAUUGUCAUUCAUGGGAUGUGUUCCCCAUGUUAAUAUAUGCAGCAGGCACCCCUCCAUCCUUGUCCUUCCCCUGACCCCUGUCAUUCCUAGUCCCCCAUUCUUUGUCCUAUGAACUUUCCUUGGCCUUCCCAAGAUGGAAAAUUACUGGAUGACCCACGCCUCUGCGCGGCCCACACCUAGUACAUUGCUGGCCUUUGCCCAAAUUAUGCCACCCUGUUUGGGAUGAGCCGACACCAUUGUGAUCCACCUGAUGACAUGGUAGCAUCCCAUCUGCCUACCCAGUUCACUCUUGCUCCAUUUCAGGGCCUCUUACAGCAACCGCUCAUGUGUCUACUUGGCACUGUCUCAUGGCCUGUCAGUCUCAGCCAACAUCAGCCCAUUCAUUGAUCCAACAAGAUGAUUUGAGAACCACUACGUGCUCUGCCAGGGCGAAUAAAAAUUACAGUACUUGCCCUCAAGGAGCUUAGACUUAAUGAGGGAGGCAGACAAUCAAGAAAUAAACAAUCAGUCAUUAUAAGUGCUGAUAAAAGCUAUGAAGAAAACGGGGUGUUGUGAGAGAGAGUGGCAGGUGGCACCUAUUUUAGAUAAUGCGGGUCUGGAGAGGACACAUUUAAGCCAAGACCUCAAGAACCAGAAGAAGGCAGCGGAGAGAACAGAGGGGUAACAAUGUCUUCAGACUUCAGGCUCAGCGUGUGAGCAGACUCUAAGACGGGGAAAAGGUUGGCAUGCUUGAGCCCUGAAAAAGGCUUCUCCAAAUCCUCCCCACUUUCUGGAUCCUUCUUUCACAGAGAUGCUGACUUCACCCACUCGUACUGAUUAAUCCAUCUCCCGAGCUGCCAGAGGUCAUUCUCUCGGUUCCCCUUAUUUGACAUUUGGUUGCAGACUGUCUUUUUAUCAUUCAGCUGUGUGCACAUCUUCACAAGACUUGAGCUCUAUACUUCACCCCUCCAAGGGCAUCGGUCAAGUUUCUAUUUAUAGGGAAGGUACUGAAUUCUAUUCAGUACAAUAAACAUUAAUCAAAUGCCUAGUGUAUGCUAGGUGGUAUGUGCUGGGUAUUAAGUUCAGUGCUGAUGGCUAAAAGUAAGCAAACCCCAGUCUAACCAUGAGAAAAACAUCAGAGAACCCAUUGAGGGACAUUCUACAACACUACGCCACAAACCCAUCAAGGUCAUCAAAAACAAGGAAAGUUUAAGAAAUUGUCACAGACUAGAGGAGGCAGCAGAGACAUGACAGCAUAAACGUAAUGUGAGACCUGGAUGGCAUCCUGCAACAGGAACAGGGCAUUUAAGUAAAAAUAGGUGAAAUCCAGAUCAACUGUGAAAUUCAGUUAAUAGUAACAUACCAACCUUGAUUCCUUACUGGUAACACCCAUAAUGCAGUAAAGCAAGAUGUUAACGGCACAAUAACGUGUAUGGAAACUCUCCAUACUAUUUUUGCAACUUUUCUGUAAAUCUAAAACUAUCCUAAAAUAGUUUAUUUAAAUUAAGAAUAAAUAAAUCAUUAAGACUCAGUUCCUAGCCUCUAUAACUCACACCGCAGUAGAAGAAACACACAUCUAAAUAAAUAUUUGCAAUGCAGUAUGAUGAGGGCAAUAAUAGAAAUGUAUACCACGUACGAAGUAGCCAAAAUAAGGGCACAAUUGCCUCUGAUGUAGGGAAGGGGUCACUGAGGAGUGCCAUGCCUGGAGCUGGGCUUUAAAGGAUUAAUAGGAGUUUGAAGAAUGUGGAAGAGAAGCCUGGGAAAGGUUAAUUCCAGCCUAGGUAAGGGCGUUUAACAAGAUAUGGAAUUUUUUCAUGCCUUCUGUUAUCAAAAGAAGGGAGGAAAGAAAAGAAAAGAGAGGAGCCCAAUUUGGGUAUUCGAUAACUAAUUAUGGUAAAAUAGUAACACCAUCAUUUGUGGCUGGGAUUCCACUGCCCUCAGUAGCUGACCCACAGGGCCUCUGAGUGUCACCUACCAGGAUUCCCUCCCCUCAUUCUCUUCUCGACUCUUGGGGUCAUCCGUUUGACCACCUUGGGCUCCACAGCACACUGGGCCAUGACCCAGCCCCAGCUCCUGGAGGCGGGUGGAUAACCAGGAAAAGGCACGAAUGCAGAGACCGUAGAAAGCAGUGACUUAGAGAGUGAGGCAAGAGCCCAGUGGUCAGUCAUGGGUCACUGUCUCUGAACUGGACAGGCCAGCAUGUCUGCCCUACCCGUACCUACAAGUGAAAGAGCCAGAAGGCAAGUGCCAUUGAGAGCAAGCUGUUUUGUUCUGUCAAUUGCCAUGGCCCCCAUAACCCAAUGCCUGGCUUAAAGGCAGUUCUCAAAGAAUAUUUGAGAGCAGGCAGUUCAGAGGCAGCUGCAUCAGCGCCGCAGAGGAGGCCUUGAGGUGGAGGGGGGCCAUGGAGCUCUCUGUAGAAGCCGGUGUGGUAAGGAAGCAAACUCUAUGAGUGAAUAAGUCCACUGGUAUCAGAACAGAGAAGCAAAUGGGCAGAGAGAAGCGGUAACUCUGAGAAAGAUCCUGUUCUGCCCACGACCAAGAGAGACCAAGACAGCAGCGAAUUUUCCAGAUCCCGUCUCUAGGAGGCCCACCCUCUCCAUGGGGACGGUGACCUCUAACUACAAGGCUCAAUGUUCUAUAAAAUGGGGGUAACCGCAGUGACAGCCUCGUGGGUUCGUGGUGGGGUUGAAAUGAGACAACCCACACAAAGCACCUGGCACCAUCCCGGGCACCUAAGUGCUUCAUUGGCGUUAUUUUUGAGGUGGUUGUUUCAUUACUCUUACUAAAUUCCCAUGAGAACUCUGCUACUCACAUCGCUCCACGUGUAUCCUUGCAGUUAUCAUCGCCUAUUGGUGAGCUUUGUUCUUUGCAAACAAAAAAUAAAAUUAAAAAAAAAA